rnacentral:lncRNA from 1 species
UAUUAUACCACCAUUCAGCUAGUGAUAACGAGUCAAUCCAUCUCCUAGGUUGGUGGAAUGUCAUGUACCUGAAAUACAUUUCGAAACACUGGUUAAGCCUCUCAAUUUGCCCUUCCGUUUGUGGGUGAUACGCAGAGCUCGGGUGUAGGCUGGUUUCCAUCAAUUUGAACAGCUCGUGCCAAAACCCACUAGUAAAAAUCUUGUCCCUAUCUGACACAAUACUUUGAGUCAUUGAAUGGAGCUUAUAGAUGUUAUCAAGACUUUAGCUACUGUGAUUGCAGAAAAGGGAAGAGAUAAGACUAUGAAGUGCCCAUAUUUAGUAAAUCGGUCCGCCACUAUCAGGAAAACUGUUUUCUUUUUUUUCCUUUUUCUUUUUUUAAGAGUGCGGGCUUUCAAUAGAAUCCUUGGAUAUGUGGCUCCAAGAAUAUUGUGGAUCAGGCAAAUAUUGUGGUUCAAGCAGAGGUUGUAGCAAGCCAAGGUAGGGAACAUGUUCUCCCUUGAAUCUUUGACAAACAUCACACUGAAGUAUCUCCCUCUUGAUAUCUCUAAUCAUCCCUGGCCAAUAGAAGUGUUUGUUAGCUCUGAAUACACUAGCCUUUUAUACCAGAGUGGCCUCCAUUUUGGGAAGAAAGGAUAUUUUGAAUCCACUUGGCCCUUAUCUGACCUCCAGAUCCUACAUAUAUCUUGCCCUUAAAUUUGAGUAACCUAUUGUGAUAGGAAAAUUCAAAGUCUUCAUUGGGUUUAAUCAAAAAUUCCUCAAUAUGAUUUGCAGCUAUUGCAUUAUCUUGGUAGCUACAUAUCACUUACUGUAUCCAAAUGGGUGUUACAUUAAAAAUUGCCAGCACUUCCAUAGAUGAUUCUUCUCUCCUGGAAAG